GCAAGUAUGAAAGACGGUUGCGAGUCUAUAAGACUCGAGGAAAGUCCGAGCUCCAUAGGGCAGGAUGCCAGAUAACGUCUGGCGAGGGUAACCUUAGGGAAAGUGCCAUAGAAAAGGAAACCGCCACGUAAGUGGUAAGGGUGGAAAGGUGAGGUAAGAGCUCACCAGCAGUCUGGUAACAGGCUGGCUCGGUAAACCCCAUCCGGAGCAAGACCGAAUAGGGAAGGGUUAAGAACAGAACUCGGCUUAUUGAUUGCUUGCUUCU
rnacentral:RNase_P_RNA from 1 species